rnacentral:rRNA from 1 species
GAUGAACGCUGGCGGCGUGCCUAAUACAUGCAAGUCGAGCGAACAGACGAGGAGCUUGCUCCUCUGACGUUAGCGGCGGACGGGUGAGUAACACGUGGAUAACCUACCUAUAAGACUGGGAUAACUUCGGGAAACCGGAGCUAAUACCGGAUAAUAUAUUGAACCGCAUGGUUCAAUAGUGAAAGACGGUUUUGCUGUCACUUAUAGAUGGAUCCGCGCCGCAUUAGCUAGUUGGUAAGGUAACGGCUUACCAAGGCGACGAUGCGUAGCCGACCUGAGAGGGUGAUCGGCCACACUGGAACUGAGACACGGUCCAGACUCCUACGGGAGGCAGCAGUAGGGAAUCUUCCGCAAUGGGCGAAAGCCUGACGGAGCAACGCCGCGUGAGUAAUGAAGGUCUUCGGAUCGUAAAACUCUGUUAUUAGGGAAGAACAAAUGUGUAAGUAACUAUGCACGUCUUGACGGUACCUAAUCAGAAAGCCACGGCUAACUACGU